GAACGCUGGCGGCGUGCCUAAUACAUGCAAGUCGAACGGUCUUUCUAUGGAAGCUUGCUUCCACUGAGAAGAUAGUGGCGAACGGGUGAGUAACACGUGGGUAACCUGCCCAUAAGAGGGGGAUAACAUCCGGAAACGGGUGCUAAUACCGCAUAGUUUUCUUGAUUGCAUGAUCGGGAAAGGAAAGACGGCCUUUGUGCUGUCGCUUAUGGAUGGACCCGCGGCGUAUUAGUUAGUUGGUGAGGUAACGGCUCACCAAGACGAUGAUACGUAGCCGACCUGAGAGGGUGAUCGGCCACAUUGGGACUGAGACACGGCCCAAACUCCUACGGGAGGCAGCAGUAGGGAAUCUUCCGCAAUGGACGAAAGUCUGACGGAGCAACGCCGCGUGAGUGAAGAAAGGUUUUCGGAUCGUAAAACUCUGUUGUCAGAGAAGAACAAGUUGGAGAGUAACUGCUCCAGCCUUGACGGUAUCUGACCAGAAAGCCACGGCUAACUACGUGCCAGCCGCCGC
rnacentral:rRNA from 1 species